rnacentral:rRNA from 1 species
UACAGAGGUCUCAAGCGUUGUUCGGAUUCAUUGGGCGUAAAGGGUGCGUAGGCGGCGCGGUAAGUCGGGUGUGAAAUCUCGGGGCUUAACUCCGAAACUGCAUUCGAUACUGCCGUGCUUGAGGACUGGAGAGGAGACUGGAAUUUACGGUGUAGCGGUGAAAUGCGUAGAUAUCGUAAGGAAGGCCAGUGGCGAAGGCGGGUCUCUGGACAGUUCCUGACGCUGAGGCACGAAGGUCAGGGGAGCAAACGGG